CCUGCAUUGGCUUGCGUUUGCUUCUAUUUCUUGUGCUUGUAACAGUGCAAAAGUUAGAAAGAUAGUCAAGAGCUCCCAUUUUUCUUCUCUUUUGGCAGUACACAAUCAAUGUCAGUUUCAAAGUAAAGAGAGAGAGAGAGAGAGAGAGAGGGGG